AUUGAAAGCUGGCGGCAUGCCUUACACAUGCAAGUCGAACGGUAACAGGCCGCAAGGUGCUGACGAGUGGCGAACGGGUGAGUAAUGCAUCGGAACGCGCCCAGUUGUGGGGGAUAACUGCGCGAAAGAGCAGCUCAUACCGGAUACGAACGUAGGGUUAAAGCGGCGGAUCGGACGACCUCGCGCAAUUGGAGUGGCCGAUGUCAGAUUAGGUAGUUGGUGGGGUAAAGGCCUACCAAGCCGACGAUCUGUAGUUGGUCUGAGAGGACGACCAGCCACACUGGGACUGAGACACGGCCCAGACUCCUACGGGAGGCAGCAGUGGGGAAUUUUGGACAAUGGGCGCAAGCCUGAUCCAGCAAUGCCGCGUGCAGGAAGAAGGCCUUCGGGUUGUAAACUGCUUUUGUCAGGGAAGAAAUCCUCUGGGUUAAUACCCCGGGGGGAUGACGGUACCUGAAGAAUAAGCACCGGCUAACUACGUGCCAGCCGCCGCCGUAAGAC
rnacentral:rRNA from 1 species